GCUGGAUUCUGGGAAGUGAACUUAUGGAAUCAAAGGUUAUGCAAACAUGGAUCUUUCUCAGUGGAGCAGUAUAUAAAACAGAUGCAGACUGAAGGAUGUUAGAAGCACAAAGAAGGUCAUGUGCACGACAUUCAGCUGAGUACAAAAUUCAACAUCUGGAAGAGUAGAGACAGGGUUUCACCAUGUCACCAUGUUGGCCAGGAUGGUCUCGAUCUCCUGACCUCGUGAUCCGCCUGCCUCGGCCUCCCAAAGUGCUGGGAUUACAGACGUGAGCCACUGCGCCCAGCCAGGUAAUACUCUUCUACAUUUUCUAUAUGAUGCCCUCAUGAGUUACAAUUAUUCCUAGCCCUGUGUGAGCUAGU
rnacentral:lncRNA from 1 species